ACUUCAAUCUGAAUGAGAAGGACAUGUUAAAACUGAAAAUACUUAAUUGCUGAUGCUUUUAUUUAGAGAACUUUAACUCUUUGAAAGAAUAAAAAUCAGAUCCUACCUAACCUAGAAAGUCACUAGACAAGUUCAAAUAAUUGAAUUCUAGAUGUGCAGAAAUAUGUCCUAUUUAUAUAUUCCAUCCUUGCUCAGUGCUGGCAUGGAGGCAUUCCUUACUCCAGGCAAAGUCAUUAUAUUCUUGCACCACAGAAGGGGAAUUAUCUCCUUGUGUAGAUAAUUACAGGCAUAAUAAUCUGUUCCUUAGACUCUGGAAUACUGUUUUUUCAUUUCCUGUCUGAAGCCAACCCAAAGACUCCACAUUUCCAGAGUUCUUUGUAGAAUGCCCUGUGGAGGAAUCUGGGAAUCCUCCGUGUGCCUCUGAGAAGUGUCUGUGUCCCAGCAGCAGUGCUGGGUGAGGCAGUGCUGAGCACAGGUACCUGUGCAGAGCCCGUGCCCAGGCUGAAACAGAGCUUUUGCACAGCUCUAGUGUUUGUUUUGAUGAACACUCACACACUCCCUUGUCCAGUCUUGCAGAGUUAGAUCAUUUCAAGUGCUCUCCAGGCAAGUUUUAAGCAGGCUUUUCUUCCUUUUGCCUGCAGCUUUAAGAGCACCAAGCACUACUUGCACUUACUCAACAGCCAAUCUCUUCAAAUUCAGUUAAACAACCCAUCUGCUGAGUUUGCUGUUAAUCCAAGCCAAUAUCUAAAUCCCAGCAGAAUCCAAUUUCCUGAGCACUUUCAUUUUUAAGAGCUGAUUCUUACAUUCUAUACUACUAAAUUAUUUAGCUGGUUAUAUAUGAUAAUGAUGGAAUCCAGUAGUGAACUGUCCUCAUAUGAACUAUUAUCAGAACAAUGGGAGGAAAGGGAGGGGGCAUAAUUUGCAGUGUAGUGUUGGGAAGUGGAUUUAAAAAUUAAUGUAUGGAUGUUUUAUAAAGCCUAUACCACAAUGCUGCAUACACCUAACUACGUGGGAGAAAUGCAACUGAUUAUCUGCAUUACUGAUGAGAGUAAAACUAAUUCUACAGUCUUCUGUGAUUUUAGGCAAAGAGGAGACCACCUGUAUGUUCCUGCUCAUAACUGUGUUUUAUUCUGUGCUUAUUGCUGAAGCUGUGGGCUGUGCUGGGCAUUUCAGAAAAUGGGCUGCAUUUAAUUUUUGCUUUCAGCUUUAGAGGAAAAAAUAUAAAGUGUAUGAGCAAGUCAGGGGUGUGGAUAACAGACAAGUUGGGUUAAAGUAGCUUGUCCUUAUUAGAGAUUUAACUUAGCAAUGCUCCAAUUUUUUUUUAAUUACAAGUAUAGGUAUGUAAAUCUAUAUGAGGUUUUGAGUUCUCUCACAAUAUGGGAUGUCCCCAAAUUACAGGUAUUUUUAUUUCAUCCCGAAAGUGGUGUACUGACAUUUUGGAACCAAGAGAACAAAAAUAUGCAAGAUGCAGCACAUGGAAGCUAUUGAUCCUGAUUGUCAAACUUCUUAAUGCCUUUCUAAUCUGCAGGGAGGGUGACUGCUACUGUUGGCAAAACCAGAAUAUUUGUCUCUCCACCCCUCUAAGACUGAAAUAAAUUCAGUGAGGAAAACUUGCUGUGCCGCUUGUGAGAAAGAGCUGUGGUUUCACCCAUUCACCCCCCUGCUCCUUUGUGGCAGGACACAGGCACCAUCUCUCAGGUGCUGAUCUCUUACAGGGGGACUACAUCCCCCACUGAGGGACAGACUGAGGGACAGACAGAACUGUGGGCAGCUCCCAGGUGCUCAGAGACAGUUGGAUUAGUUCACCUGGUUUCCAGACCCAUAGAAGAGUGUUGACUGAAGGAAAGUCAACUCUGAGCUGCCAUUCUGGAUCUUCACUGAGCUAAAAGAUUGCUGAGAAUCACCAGAAACCACAAGGACAUGCACAUGAAACUGUGACAGUCAUUUCCAUGAGAGAAACCUGCCCUUUCUCUCAGACAUGGUAUCAGCUAUGCCUGUAUGCAGAAACUCCAUCUCUGCCUACGUAUUUGCCCAUGUAAAAUGGAGAGUCUGACAGUUACAAUAAUAGAGUAUUUAAUGUCUGAGCCUUCAUACCUGUGAAAAUUUUUCCAUUAGCAUCCUGAAUUGGACUGAAUUUUCCCUACUGCUCCCUGUUAGGGAAAUGGAAAGUCAGCAAGGAAGAACAAAACAAAAUCUAUUCAGGAACAAAUGUAACUUCUUUUCCUUUCACAGACCAACCACCCCAGUGCUGCCAUGGUAUUGUUAUUCUGCUGCCUGGGGACAAAAGCCUUUCUUUCUGGUCUUCUAUUUCUGUUUACCACAUUUUAUUGCCUUUGCUUGCCUUUUUAUUUACAGAGUCUAGGAACAUGGUAUUUUACUGUUGUCAUAUUCUAUUUUGCAAGCUUUUAGAAAUAUUCAGGUAUGUCCUGGGUAACAAAUGACAAAUGAAUUACAAAACCUGUUUCGAGAAGGUGCUCUAAGCCUCUCUCAGGUUUCCAAGAUGUUGCUCAAUAAAUUGUCCCCAUAAGUAAAUGCUGAUUGUGCAUUGAUGCCAUGAAUGUGAAGAAAGGACACAGAGGAAAGUCCAAAAGAGGGUAGCUUCAAGAAGAGCAGAAUUUCACAGCCUCAUUUUCAGGCUUGGAAUAGGACUCAGUGUCCCUGGUUCUAUUCUCAGACACAGACUGU